rnacentral:rRNA from 1 species
AUACGGAGGGUGCAAGCGUUAUCCGGAUUUACUGGGUUUAAAGGGUACGCAGGCGGUAAUUUAAGUCAGUGGUGAAAGCCUACAGCUCAACUGUAGAACUGCCAUUGAAACUGAAUUACUUGAGUAUGGUAGAGGUAGGCGGAAUACAACAUGUAGCGGUGAAAUGCAUAGAUAUGUUGUAGAACACCGAUUGCGAAGGCAGCUUACUAAACCAUUACUGACGCUCAUGUACGAAAGCGUGGGGGGCGAACAGGAUUAGAAACCCUAGUAGUCC